rnacentral:tRNA from 2 species
AGGAUCUUAGUUUAAUGCUAAAACAUAGGACUUUUAAGCCUAAUAUACGGCUUGGGAUUCCGUAGAUCCUU